rnacentral:rRNA from 1 species
AUUCCAGCUCCAAUAGCGUAUAUUAAAGUUGUUGCAGUUAAAAAGCUCGUAGUUGGAUUUCUGGUGGAAGUGACCGGUCUGUCCCUAGUGGAUGUGAACUUGUGUCUACUUUUGCCAUCCUUGGGGAGAGCGUGCCUGGCAUUAGGUUGUCGGGUUCGGGAUCCCCAUCCUUUACUGUGAAAAAUUUAGAGUGUUUAAAGCAGGCUUAUGCCAUUGAAUACAUUAGCAUGGAAUAAUAAGAUAGGACUUUGGUGGUCUAUUUUGUUGGUUUGCACACCAAGGUAAUGAUUAAUAGGGAUAGUUGGGGGUAUCCGUAUUUCGUAGUCAGAGGUGAAAUUCUUGGAUUUACGAAAGACGAACUACUGCGAAAGCAUUUACCAAGGAUGUUUUCAUCA